rnacentral:lncRNA from 1 species
GAUAUAGGAAAUCAUCGAGAGAAAAAGAGAAAAAAAGUUAUAUAAAUAAACUCGAAGAUUCAAAAGAAGCACGAGCCAAAAAAGGGCACUCGGUUGAAAAAUAGAAAAAAAAGAGAGAAACCGAGCGAAAAACAAAAGAAACCAACACAGUAGGUGACAUUGACUCUGAACAAAAAACCACUUAUUUCCCAUUUUUGUGUGAAUAUC